GCCGGAUUGGCGGAAUGGCAGACGCGACGGACUCAAAAUCCGUUGGUAGCAAUAUCGUGUGGGUUCGAGUCCCACAUCCGGCACCA
rnacentral:tRNA from 1 species